rnacentral:sRNA from 1 species
CGGUUUCGAUCUGCUGCGGACAAAUAAAGUGAAUGUGGGUAUCGAUGCCGCCGGCCGUGACGAUCUUGCCUUCGCCCGCAAUCACUUCCGUGCUCGCGCCGACGACCAUGCCGGGAGUAACCCCGUCCAUGAUGUCCGGAUUGCCGGCCUUGCCGAUCCCCACAAUGACACCGUCGCGGAUACCGAUGUCGCCUUUGACGAUGCCCCAGUGGUCGAUCACGACAGCGUUCGUAAUGAGCGUGUCGAGCACGCCCUCGCUGCGCAGCGCGCCGCUCGACUGGCCCAUGCCGUCGCGG